CAACUAGUACCAGGCCUAGUUGUUCGCCUAACCGUUAUAAAAGCGAAAACUCGGCCUGGGAUCGAGGCUACUCCUAUAACAUGUUUAAAGUUACUCUUGAACGUUACCUGAACACAACCAGUUAGUUACCCUAUACCCUUUACUUAUAAUUUAUAUGUUUGUGUAGGGAGCACCUCGAGAGGCUAGUGACCUACUGUGCUUCCUUUUCCUAUGUGUUGGAUAAAUCAUUGAUACGUGGGCGUGUAUGGACCACGCCUAUGAGACCGUAUUUUAAUCGGCACAGUACCUAUUGCAGGUGAUAGUGCGCAUGCGUUAGUUUCCAGCCACGCGGUUCACAAAUUAAGUUGAAAAUUUGUGCCAAGAGGAACACCCGUCCUUCGGAAACAAAUAUUCACGAUGUCACAUGGGAAGAUGUUUUUAAGAAGACUACUAACAUCCCUGAAAGACUCAAACAAAUGAUGAUUGAGGAAGAUACUCCCCCCUUAGCACUCCGUGGUUUCAUACAGCACCAUAACUACACGAUAGAAUCUUUUAAAGACUACUUCCAAGAGCACUUCUCAAAGAUAGAGAUCGCUGUGGAUGAAAUACUCAGGGACCUUGGAAGCAAACGCACUUGCAUCGAAGCAAAUCUCCUUUCUCCAAGCGACUACGCAAAAUCAUGCAGCGAUAACAAAGUCGUGAAGUGCCAUCGUUUUUCUUCUGAGCUACACGUAGGCCUGCAAGUGGAAGCUUUUGGCUUUAAGAGUGAGGUUAUUGAGUCGAAAUACUGUAAAGUAGCAUCUACUUUAAUGCAAGAAAUGAGCAAAGUAUUUCUUGAUGAGGUGAGUCGCGUGAAAAAAUUCCAAAGCAUAGUAGAAGAGUUAGGUCGGAUGUUCACUAUGCAGCCCUUAACUGGAAAUUGUUUCAGGUCUGAUGGUGCAAUCGUAGUACAAAGUACACCUAUUGCCGACUGGGAAUUUAAAAAUGAAUUCUCUGGUGUGACUACAUGUCCCGUUACCCAAAACCAUCCGUAUUUUAUUUGCAUGAAGCGUGGAAGGCUUGAUCGCUCCCCAAUGCUGUUAGUUUCUGUUGUUGGCUGCCAUUACUUCCAAGUGUUUGGUGCUGUUUGGAAUGGUGAAAGGUGUGUUUGUGUAGAUCCAUUGGGUUCCCCAGCUUCUCUGCUUUUUGUGCCACGUGACCCACAUAAUGGUGUCUUGAAGCUGGCUCGACUUUUGUCUAUGAUAGAUAAAUAUCGCAUGGAUUAAUUGAGUAUUAUAACAAACCAGAUGAAGAGAGACUCGCAAACACAAGAGGGCCAUACUGGACAGACGAUGGCCACCUUAAGUACGGUCGGAAAUUGGCAGAGAUAAACUGGUUGUUGGCUACUAUGGGGUUGAGGUUGUUGUGAAAUUUGUUCGUGGUCAAUAUGGCGAAGCUGUCCACAAGCAUCUCGCUUCUUUUAAUUUCGCACCUAAACUCUUCACUUGUCGUCUACUACCUGGUGGGUGGUAUGCAGUGGUGAUGGAGAAGCUAAAAAGUUCUUCUGCGAGUUUCAGCGAUAAGGCAAAACAAUCAUUGAAGACAGCUGUCAAAAAAAUGCACGAAUCUAA